rnacentral:misc_RNA from 1 species
AAGUCGUAACAAGGUUUCCGUAGGUGAACCUGCGGAAGGAUCAUUAACACGUAUCCAACGUUAAACAACCCUGUGAACCUUCAUUCCUGCUCUCCUUGUCCGUUGAGAAAGCAAUCCCUGGUAAAUCACACGAACAGUUUGAUUCAGGGACCUCUUUUGAUGACGCACUUGGAUUCGAUGCGGCGUCGUAAUUUAGACUUGGUUUCUGACGAGUCAAAUCGUUGACUGACGAUAAAGGAUGCUGCCUAACAAGCAGAUCACUGAUCCUUACGGUCAGUGGACAAGUCUCUGGGCUUCGGCCCCCAUAAUAUUAUUAACCCCAGUUCUCAAUUCGGAGAAAAACGAACAACUGUUAACAAUGGAUAUCUUGGUUCUC